GAGUUUGAUCCUGGCUCAGGAUGAACGCUAGCGGCAGGCUUAACACAUGCAAGUCGAGGGGUAACAGGAGAAAGCUUGCUUUUUCGCUGACGACCGGCGCACGGGUGAGUAACGCGUAUACAAUUUACCUUAUACAGGAGGAUAGCCUUUAGAAAUGAAGAUUAAUACUCCAUGGCAUUAUGAUAUGGCAUCAUAUUAUAAUUAAAGAUUUAUUGGUAUAAGAUGAGUAUGCGUCCUAUUAGUUAGUUGGUAAGGUAAUGGCUUACCAAGACUUCGAUAGGUAGGGGUCCUGAGAGGGAGACCCCCCACACUGGUACUGAGACACGGACCAGACUCCUACGGGAGGCAGCAGUGAGGAAUAUUGGACAAUGGAGGCAACUCUGGUCCAGCCAUGCCGCGUGCAGGAAGACGGCCCUAUGGGUUGUAAACUGCUUUUAUAUAGGAAGAAACCCAACCACGUGUGGUUGGCUGACGGUACUGUAUGAAUAAGCACCGGCUAACUCCGUGCCAGCAGCCGCGGUAAUACGG
rnacentral:rRNA from 1 species